UAGAGUGUAAGGCCAAAUAGGGGGGAAAAACGUCAAGAAAAUCUUAAAUUGCUUUCAGGAAUCCUGUCCUAUUCUUAGCUUUUUGAGAUUGGAAGAGCACACGCCU